CCUACGGGGAGCAGCAGUGAGGAAUAUUGGUCAAUGGACGAGAGUCUGAACCAGCCAAGUAGCGUGAAGGAUGACUGCCCUAUGGGUUGUAAACUUCUUUUAUAUGGGAAUAAAAUGUUCCACGUGUGGGAUUUUGUAUGUACCAUAUGAAUAAGGAUCGGCUAACUCCGUGCCAGCAGCCGCGGUAAUACGGAGGAUCCGAGCGUUAUCCGGAUUUAUUGGGUUUAAAGGGAGCGUAGGUGGAUUGUUAAGUCAGUUGUGAAAGUUUGCGGCUCAACCGUAAAAUUGCAGUUGAAACUGGCAGUCUUGAGUACAGUAGAGGUGUGCGGAAUGCGUGGUGUAGCGGUGAAAUGCUUAGAUAUCACGAAGAACUCCGAUUGCGAAGGCAGUUCACUGGACUGCAACUGACACUGAGGCUCGAAAGUGUGGGUAUCAAACAGGAUUAGAUACCCGAGUAGUC
rnacentral:rRNA from 1 species